rnacentral:rRNA from 1 species
CCUACGGGAGGCAGCAGUAGGGAAUAUUGCUCAAUGGGGGAAACCCUGAAGCAGCAACGCCGCGUGGAGGAUGAAGGUUUUCGGAUUGUAAACUCCUUUUGUUAGAGAAGAUAAUGACGGUAUCUAACGAAUAAGCACCGGCUAACUCCGUGCCAGCAGCCGCGGUAAUACGGAGGGUGCAAGCGUUACUCGGAAUCACUGGGCGGAAAGAGCGCGUAGGCGGGAUAGCAAGUCAGAUGUGAAAUCCUAUGGCUUAACCAUAGAACUGCAUUUGAAACUGUUAUUCUAGAGUAUGGGAGAGGUAGGUGGAAUUCUUGGUGUAGGGGUAAAAUCCGUAGAGAUCAAGAGGAAUACUCAUUGCGAAGGCGACCUGCUAGAACAUAACUGACGCUGAUGCGCGAAAGCGUGGGGAGCAAACAGGAUUAGAUACCCUAGUAGCC